rnacentral:tRNA from 2 species
CUCGCCAUAGUUCAAUGGAUAGAACACGGACCUCCUAAGUCUGAGAUGCAGGUUCGAUUCCUGCUGGCGAGG